rnacentral:rRNA from 1 species
UACAGAGGUCCCGAGCGUUGUUCGGAUUUACUGGGCGUAAAGCGUGCGUAGGCGGCGGGGUAAGUGAGGUGUGAAAUCCCGGAGCUUAACUCCGGAACUGCACUUUAUACUGCCUUGCUCGAGGGCUGGAGAGGAGACUGGAAUUUACGGUGUAGCAGUGAAAUGCGUAGAGAUCGUAAGGAAGACCAGUGGCGAAGGCGAGUCUCUGGAAAGCUGCUGACGCUGAGGCACGAAGGCCAGGGGAGCAAACGGG